rnacentral:tRNA from 1 species
GGGGGUAUAUCUCAGUGGUAGAGAGCUUGCCUCGCAUGAGAAAGGUUCUGGAUUCAAUCCUCAGUGCCACACA